UCUGGAACUACCCCUCCCACCCCCCCCACCCCCCAAGGUGAAGGAUUUGGAGGCUGGGCUCCAAUCGAGGCGGAGGCUGCGGGGCCUGCGGGGUGCCCCCCGCCCCGCACACGCCUCCUGGGAGCCCUGGAAGGCGUAGCCCCGGGGAGCCCCCUGCGCCCUCGGAGGAGGCAGCGGCGUAUUCCUCGGGGUAUCUCUGGGCCGGGAAGACCGCAGCUCUGAGUUCCUCGAGCAACUAAAAGAAGAGAGAAAGAUGCUCUCCAAAUGCACCCAGCUCAGUUCCUUCUGCCCCCCUCGCUGUGCUCAGAAAUAAAAAGAUGCCCUCCCACAGUUGG